UACGAAGGGGGCUAGCGUUGCUCGGAAUUACUGGGCGUAAAGCGCACGUAGGCGGUUUCUUAAGUCGGGGGUGAAAUCCUGGAGCUCAACUCCAGAACUGCCUUCGAUACUGGGAAACUUGAGUCCGGGAGAGGUGAGUGGAACGUGCGAGUGUAGAGGUGAAAUUCGUAGAUAUUCGCAAGAACACCAGUGGCGAAGGCGGCUCACUGGCCCGGUACUGACGCUGAGACGCGAAAGCGUGGGGAGCGA
rnacentral:rRNA from 1 species